AACGAACGCUGGCGGCAGGCUUAACACAUGCAAGUCGAACGGGUGCAGCAAUGCAUCAGUGGCAGACGGGUGAGUAACACGUGGGAACCUUCCUAGGGGUACGGAACAACUCAGGGAAACUUGAGCUAAUACCGUAUACGUCCGUGAGGAGAAAGAUUUAUCGCCCUUAGACGGGCCCGCAUCGGAUUAGCUAGUUGGUGGGUAACGGCCUACCAAGGCGACGAUCCGUAGCUGAUCUUAGAGGAUGAUCAGCCACCCUGGGACUGAGACACGGCCCAGACUCCUACGGGAGGCAGCAGUGGGGAAUCUUGGACAAUGGGCGCAAGCCUGAUCCAGCCAUGCCGCGUGAGUGAAGAAGGUCUUCGGAUUGUAAAGCUCUUUUGCCAGGGGCGAUAAUGACGGUACCUGGAGAAUAAGCCCCGGCAAACUUCGUGCCAGCAGCCGCGGUAAU
rnacentral:rRNA from 1 species